rnacentral:rRNA from 1 species
CCAGAUCGUCAGCUAAGGUCCCUAAAUGUAAGUUAAGUGGUAAAGGAUGUGGGAUUGCACAGACAACCAGGAUGUUGGCUUAGAAGCAGCCACUCAUUCAAAGAGUGCGUAAUAGCUCACUGGUCGAGUGAUCCUGCGCCGAAGAUUUCCGGGGCUAAAACUUACUACCGAAGCUACGGCAUCAGUAAUGAUGGGUAGGGGAGCUUCCCAUACGGGUUGAAGCAUGACCGUAAGGACAUGUGGACAGUAUGGGAGUGAGAAUGUUGGCAUGAGUAGCGAGAUGUGGGUGAGAAUCCCACAGGCCGUAAACCCAAGGUUUCCAGGGAAGGUUCGUCCGCCCUGGGUUAGUCGGGACCUAAGCUGAGGCCGAAAGGCGU